GAUGAACGCUGGCGGCGUGCCUAAUACAUGCAAGUCGAGCGAACAGACAAGGAGCUUGCUCCUUUGACGUUAGCGGCGGACGGGUGAGUAACACGUGGGUAACCUACCUAUAAGACUGGGAUAACUUCGGGAAACCGGAGCUAAUACCGGAUAAUAUUUCGAACCGCAUGGUUCGAUAGUGAAAGAUGGCUCUGCUAUCACUUAUAGAUGGACCUGCGCCGUAUUAGCUAGUUGGUAAGGUAACGGCUUACCAAGGCAACGAUACGUAGCCGACCUGAGAGGGUGAUCGGCCACACUGGAACUGAGACACGGUCCAGACUCCUACGGGAGGCAGCAGUAGGGAAUCUUCCGCAAUGGGCGAAAGCCUGACGGAGCAACGCCGCGUGAGUGAUGAAGGUCUUCGGAUCGUAAAACUCUGUUAUUAGGGAAGAACAAACGUGUAAGUAACUGUGCACGUCUUGACGGUACCUAAUCAGAAAGCCACGGCUAACUACGUG
rnacentral:rRNA from 1 species